rnacentral:lncRNA from 1 species
GCCGGUGGAGCCCAGAGAGGCUGCUCCACACACCCCACAGCGCCCAGCUCGGCCCAGCACAGAGCGUGGUCCAGCCCCCAGGUCAUCAGUGCCGAGCCGGACAGACCUGCUCAGAGCCGGGAUCCGUCCACACCGUCCCUCUGGGGCCGCUCUCUGUCUGACCCCGUCCCCCAGCUUUCCUUGCGGGGUGCGGGGCUGUGGUGCUGUGGUCCACCCCGUUGAGCAGACGCAAGAUGCUUAGUUCUCAGACUAUAGGCCCGUUUCUCAGGACGCACUGCGGGGUCGUGAGUGAGGAGACCGUGGGGUGGUCGGCCCGGGGGGAGUGACAAAGGACGGACAUGUCCCCGGCGGGGCAUUUGGGGUUGACCCCAAAGUCGGGUCCGCAUAACAAUUAGGGGAUCGAUGGGUCAGGAAUUCUGGGUGGGGGCGCGUGAUGCGGGCUGGCCGGCCCUCCGGCAUCAUUUCCGCACCCCGAAAACCUCCUAAGGGGGAGCUUUCUGAAUUCUGAAAAAUCACUAGAAAUAGCUCGGUUAUUUAAAAUUAAAAAAAAUAAAUAAAAAUAAAAACGAAAGGAGCAAUUGUGCAUCCUUUUAUGUCCCCAAAAUGAAACACUGGGGGAGGAGACAUCCGUCCUGUUACACGAGACGUUGCAUCCAGUUGGGGUUUUGUGGCAUUUCCCAAACAUCGUUUGCAGCGACGAACAAAAAUCACUAUUCUUCGGAGUUCUCGUCGUUCCGAUUUCUGAGGGUUUUCGCGUUCCUUACGCUUUUCCAAUUUUUUUUUUUUUUUUUUUUUGGCCUCACCGCCUCCUCGACGUCCUCCUGUCCUGUCCUGGUUCUUUUCUUCUUAACAAACCUUUUCUUCUGAUUUGAAUAAGAAGGACCCGCCCGAGAAAACGGGGCGUGUGGACCGGGACUCAGCAGAAACGGCCUCGGCUCUUUGGCUCCUCGUUGAAAGCGUUUUACUUUGUUUCGUCAUUUUUCUGUUGAUGAGGCUACACUCGCUGGAAUUAUGUUCAGUCCGGAUUAUUUGGGUGUUUGGCAAAGAGCAACCUGUCCCCGCCUUUGCAGCGAAAAGCAACUGCAUCGAACCGCUUUUUUUUCCCCCCUAAUUUAUUGUCGUCUGCGUCUUUAAACAUUUUACAUCUUUUGUCUCAAACCGUGUGUUCUACACGGUCCUUUGGAAAUAUAUUGUAGUCCCACCAGUGCGUAUGAAUCGCUACAUAUAAUGCGAACGUAUCUUUUUAUAUAUUGCACCUUGAAAAUGCCUUUUUUAAAUUUAAUUUUGAUGCUUCACUGGCAAUUAUUGUCCAUCCUAGCCGCCCCAUUUUUCAAUUCUAGAUUUUUGCUUCACCUCCUGUUCGGCUGGAGUUGGUUUGAAGGGAUCAAUUUUUUUUUUCACACAAAGGGAACAGAAGGGGCGUGCUGUGCAUCUUGAGGACCCGAGAUUAGAUACCUCCAAGACGAGAUCUUUUCCGGCCUAGGAUUCGGGGUGCAAAUCCGAAGGGAAAACUUUUUUUCUGUCCAACUACACAGACCUGGUCUAUGUUCGGGUCUUUGCGGGUUUGGUGCUGGACUUGUCACUCUCCCCUAAGAGCGGGGAUUUCUGACAUCUGGUCCUUGCGGUGGGUCCACGAUUAGAAGGAAGGAUGGCCUAUAGGGUCUGGGGUCAUUCCGGGCAAAGUGCGUGCGGCCUGCGGGGUAUUUCCAAGGUCCCGGGGCUUCCGGAGCGUCUGUGUCUUUCCGAGGGUGGCGUCUGCUCACUGGCAGGUGGGACGAGAGCUUCAUAGGGUCAGAGGUGAGACCUCUGUGAGACCCCGGGGACGGCGUCCUGCUGAACAAGCUGACGCCAGCGAUCGGCGCCCACC